CAUGCUAGAACAGAAAGAAUGGG
rnacentral:miRNA from 1 species